AUUGAACGCUGGCGGCAGGCCUAACACAUGCAAGUCGAACGGUAACAGGAAACAGCUUGCUACUUUGCCGGCGAGCGGCGGACGGGUGAGUAAUGUCUGGGAAACUGCCUGAUGGAGGGGGAUAACUACUGGAAACGGUAGCUAAUACCGCAUAACGUCGCAAGACCAAAGAGGGGGACCUUCGGGCCUCUUGCCAUCAGAUGGGCCCAGAUGGGAUUAGCUAGUAGGUGGGGUAACGGCUCACCUAGGCGACGAUCCCUAGCUGGUCUGAGAGGAUGACCAGCCACACUGGAACUGAGACACGGUCCAGACUCCUACGGGAGGCAGCAGUGGGGAAUAUUGCACAAUGGGCGCAAGCCUGAUGCAGCCAUGCCGCGUGUAUGAAGAAGGCCUUCGGGUUGUAAAGUACUUUCAGCGGGGAGGAAGGUGCUGAGGUUAAUAACCUCAGCAAUUGACGUUACCCGCAGAAGAAGCACCGGCUAACUCCGUGCCAGCCGCCGCAGUAA
rnacentral:rRNA from 1 species